UACAUACACGUUUUUCUGGGCAUGAUGGU
rnacentral:piRNA from 1 species